UACGGAGGAUGCGAGCGUUAUCCGGAUUUAUUGGGUUUAAAGGGUGCGUAGGCUGGUAAUUAAGUCAGUGGUGAAAUACUCCGGCUCAACCGGGGGGCUGCCGUUGAUACUGGUUACCUUGAGUUUAGAUGAUGUGGGCGGAAUGUGUCAUGUAGCGGUGAAAUGCAUAGAGAUGACACAGAACACCGAUAGCGAAGGCAGCUCACAAAGCUAUUACUGACGAUGAUGCACGAAAGCGUGGGGAUCAAACAGGA
rnacentral:rRNA from 1 species